UGUUGUAACGUAUAAGGGAGGGCAUCAUUAGUCCAACAUUAAUUAUGAGUCAAGAAGGAAUUUAGUUUAUAUAAGAAGGGAUCAUUUUUUUGAUAUGAAGCGAUUUUUAAAGAGCAAAAUCAUGAGGCUCAUGGAUCAAAUAUCUCAUAUACCCAGUCAUGAGCCUUUAGCUGCAACAGACUCUUUUCUAGUUCUGCUAUUUCCAAAUGCCC
rnacentral:lncRNA from 1 species